UACGAAGGGGCUAGCGUUGCUCGGAAUCACUGGGCGUAAAGGGUGCGUAGGCGGGUCUUUAAGUCAGGGGUGAAAUCCUGGAGCUCAACUCCAGAACUGCCUUUGAUACUGAAGAUCUUGAGUUCGGGAGAGGUGAGUGGAACUGCGAGUGUAGAGGUGAAAUUCGUAGAUAUUCGCAAGAACACCAGUGGCGAAGGCGGCUCACUGGCCCGAUACUGACGCUGAGGCACGAAAGCGUGGGAGCAACAGG
rnacentral:rRNA from 1 species